GAUGAAGAACGUAGCGAAAUGCGAUAAGUAAUGUGAAUUGCAGAAUUCAGUGAAUCAUCGAAUCUUUGAACGCACAUUGCGCCCACCAGCACUCUGGCGGGCAUGCCUGUUCGAGCGUCAUUUCAACCAUCAAGCCCCCAGGGGCUUGUGCUGGGGCCCUGCGGCUGCCCGCAGGCCCUGAAAACCAGUGGCGGGCUCGCUAGUCACACCGAGCGCAGUAGCACAUCUCGCUCAGGGCGUGCGGCGGGCUCCUGCCGUGAAACCCCCCACUGUAACCCCAAAGGUUGACCUCGGAUCAGGUAGGAAUACCCGCUGAACUUAAGCAUAUCAAUAAGCGGAGGA
rnacentral:misc_RNA from 1 species